rnacentral:lncRNA from 1 species
CUGCGCAGCCUCUGAAAGCCCUUCAUUGACAUCACUGAGCCCAAUUUCGAGUUUGCUAUCAAGUUCAAUGCCCUGUAACUUGACAACAGUGACCUGGCUCUCUUCAUUGCAGCCAUCAUUCUGUGUGGAGACCGGCCAGGCCUCAUGAAUGUGCCACAGGAGAACAUCAUUCUUCAUGACCUCGAGUUCCACCUGCAGGCCAACCACCCCAAUAGCCAGUACCUCUUCCCAAGCAGCUGCAGAAGAUGGACGACCUGCAGCAGCUGUUCAAUGAGAACACCCAGAUGAUGCAGUGGUUAAAGAAGACUAGACUGAGACCUUGCUGCACCCCAUGCUAUAGGAGAUCUAUCAGGAUAUGUACUGGGGCUGCCAGGCCUCCUGCAGGUUCUAGAUGGGCCCAGCCAUGGGACUGUUCCACAGGCCAGCUGACAAGCACUCAGCAUGGGUCACACUCUGGCACUCCUAGACAGACAUGGCCUGCCUCCCUACAUUCCCUUCCUUCCACCCCAUUGCUACCCAGGCUCAUUCUGUGUUGUCUCCCUCUUUCUCAGUCUCAUCUUCCCAGUGCCUCCUGCUCUUCUGUUCCCUUGCCCUCUGCAUGUCUUCCACCUCUCUGCCCUCCCUGCUCCUCUCUCCAUCUUGAUAUCUGUCCUCUUUCUCCUCUGCAAGGCAGUCGGUACUGUCUCACAAGCAGCCUAAAACAGGACCUCUGCCUUUGCCCAGCCUUUCCCCAGGAGCAGCCUGCACCCUCCCUGCCAUUACCCCUGGGCCUAGGGCCUUGCUUCUGUCUCCUGUCUUCAUGUAAAAGACUUGGGUCAUCCAAAGAAACACCACACUCUCUCAGCCUGCUUCCUGGGUCCAAAGAAACACUGUAUUCUCUGAGCCUGGCUUCCUGGGGAGCUUGGCCCAUAUGGACUGCAGUAGUGGCCUGUGGUCACAGGGUUCCUGCUGCAGAGGACAGUGGGCAGGGGACCUGGGUGGAGAGCCACACACUUCCCUCCGACCGUCUUCUCCACCCAAGGUCAAGGCUGUGCCCCCACCCAGCCAACCCCACUCCAGCAGCCCCAGCCCUCUACACCUG